rnacentral:tRNA from 1 species
GGAGGCGUGGCAGAGCGGCCGAAUGCAGCGGUUUUGAAAACCGCCGUGCUGCAAGGCACCAGGGGUUCGAAUCCUCUCGCCUCCGCCA